AUGGCUCUGUGGCGCCAUCUAGUGGAGCUAAAUGCUAAUAACAAGUCCUGUCCCUCCUACUUCCUGUAGCUACUGUAGCCUCCAUGUUCAAAGGCCAUCAGAGGCAGCACACCAAAUAAUUAAACUGCAUAUGUUUGAAUUGUAACUCUCAUACUGAAUUAAUUUACCAAGGUUGUGGAUAAAGGUGAGUUUGAGGCAAUAUUUGAAAUGCAGUUGCCUAAAAAUGAAUGAUGAUAGUUCCUAAACUUGACUUGUAUGAAUACAUUACUGAAUAUCUGAAUGUUUGUUACAGGCUUACUGGCACCAGGAAGCAGACUCCCCACACCUGAGGGUGCAUGUGCUUCAUAACUCCCCACCAGACCAGGACCAGGUGAGCAGUCAGGUGAGCAGUCAGGUGACCUGGCCUCGUAGGUAUUUGAAGCGUCCUGUGACACAGCCAGACCACAACAGACUUGAGUGAUUUGUGUCUCUUCUUAUUUCACAUUCUGUGAGCGGGCUUAGCGUUAGCUUGGCCGUCAGUGGCUAACACUAUCUCUGGAUGGUGGAGUGUGAGUGCCUCCAUCUUCGUUUUGAUGAACUUCCUGCCAAAUGCUACUGACUGAGACCUCUGCUGACCUCACCAGGAAAAAAACAUCAGCACCAUCUAGUGGCCCGAAAAAGCAACUGACUUUAUCAUUCUAGC